UACAGAGGGGGCAAGCGUUGUUCGGAAUUACUGGGCGUAAAGGGCGCGUAGGCGGCCCGCUAAGUCGAACGUGAAAUCCCCGGGCUCAACCCGGGAACUGCGUCCGAUACUGGCAGGCUUGAAUCCGGGAGAGGGAUGCGGAAUUCCAGGUGUAGCGGUGAAAUGCGUAGAUAUCAGGAAGAACACCCGUGGCGAAGGCGGCUCUCUGGGACGGUACUGACGCUGAGACGCGAAAGCGUGGGGAGCGAACAGG
rnacentral:rRNA from 1 species